AUGGUAUACAAGGGAUUUGCCCCAAAUAGGGGUGACAACCACCAGCAAUGGACAGGACAGCAAGGGGCAGUUGACACAGAGUGUGUGAAGGUCCCUCCACUCAUUAGAGUGAGCAAAAUGUGGCGAAACAUUCUCUUCAUACUACUAGUCCUCAAAGGAGUGCAGUCUCAGGGACAGUUGGUGGAAUCUGGAGGGGAUGUGAGAAGACCUGGAGGGUCCCUCCGUCUCUCCUGCCAAGGUUCUGGAUACAACUUUGUUGGCUACAGCAUGGACUGGGUGAGACAGGCUCCAGGGAAAGGACUGGAAUGGGUUGCAUGCAUCUAUCAUGAUUCCAGUGGAAAGUUCUACUCCGACAAAGUGAAGGGACGCUUCACCAUCUCCAGGGACAAUGCCAAAAGCCAGCUGUAUCUGCAAAUGGACAGCCUCAAAGCUGAAGACCCGGCAGUCUAUUACUGUGCG